rnacentral:lncRNA from 1 species
CUGCUCCACCUCCUGCGACGGAUACCGGGCGAUUCUCCCAUCCGCUGGCAAGUCACGACAACGGGCGCUGCUCCACUCCCUGCAACUGAUUCCACGUGGCGAGCUGCGGUGAUGGCCACGAUUCCGCUCCACUACCUCUCGCAAUAAAUUCUCCUGACCACGGGCGGCCCACUACCAGACGGUUACAGGUGUCGCCAUCAAUCCGUUACCUCUUCCGCCUAUAAAAAG